GGCCGAAGAAACUGAGAUACUUAUUUAUGAGGACAUAAACUUUGCACGCAAGAACCUGGAAAGUCCUGAAGGUGCAGUGCUGUCUAAUACCGCUGGUUCUGUAAUAACCCUUUCAACCAUUGGGGUGUUGCACAGAGCUUUGUGGUGAAAAUCCAGCAAACAAAAGAAGAACUAUGUGGAAGCUGACAUUGUCUUGUUGUCAGCCAUAUUGCUACCCUUAGCCAUUUUAUGGAACAAAAUGUCUGGUGUCUAAACUGAUUUCUUUAUACUCUGUGAAAGACUUAUUCUAUUUUUCUGAACUAUGCUGAACUAUUGAACUAUUUUUAUUUUUAUUUUUGUAGAGUUAGCCAGAGAGAGAGGAAGUGUUAGCUGACCCAGAGUUAGCUGUACUAUGUGUGUUUUUGAUAUAUGUUGAGUGUGCCAAGGAUGGAUUCCCAUGUUUUGAGGAACUGCGUGAGGAUAUGACUGGUUUUGACUGGACUUUUGGAAUAGCGAAAAGGUUAAAAGAUAUAGGACGCAAGGUCCUGGUUGUGAUUAUUGUCAGAAUUUCAAGCUAGAUUAUAAUUUAUCUCAUGAAUUAAUAUGUAAGAAGUGUUUCCCAAUUCCUCCCAAUACCCAAGCUAUGUACUCACAGGUGCGGG